UCCCUACUAGCUUAGAUGGUAAAGCAUCUGACUGCAGUGCAGGAGACCUGGGUUCGAUCCCUGGGUUGGGAA
rfam:Ovis aries breed Texel chromosome 1, whole genome shotgun sequence.